rnacentral:rRNA from 1 species
CUCCUUCUGAUAGGAUAGAAGGUAGGCCCUGCUCUAUGCUUUUUUGAAGUAAAUGGCCGCGGUACUCUGACUGUGCUAAGGUAGCAUAAUAACUUGGCUUUUAAUUGAAGUCUUGGAUGAAAGGGUUGACAAGCUCCCAACUUUCUUUUAAGAAAGUUUCGAACUUCAGGUUCAGGUUAAAACUCCUGAAUAAGGGAGAGGGACGAAAAGACCCUAUAGAUCUGGCAUUUACUCCCCCUUUAAACUAAAGGGGGAGGGGUGGUUUUUUGGGAUGAAACGAAAUAUAGAGAACAUUCGUUAACGUUAACGUCUGAUGAGACAAAGAGGAAAAGAUCCCCUUUUCGGGAAAAAAAGAAAAGUUACCUUAGGGAUAACAGCAUAAUAACCUCUUCCAGUACUUAUGGAAGAGAGAGAUUAUGACCUCGAUGUUGAAUUAGGCUUUCCUUUUCGAGUAGGAAAGAGAAGGGUUAGUCUGUUCGACUAUUAAAAGCCU